rnacentral:rRNA from 1 species
AUAUCAAUAAGCGGAGGAAAGGAAACCAACAGGGAUUGCCUUAGUAACGGCGAGUGAAGCGGCAACAGCUCAAAUUUGAAAUCUGGCCUCGGCCCGAGUUGUAAUUUGCAGAGGAUGCUUUUGGUGCGGUGCCUUCCGAGUUCCCUGGAACGGGACGCCACAAAGGGUGAGAGCCCCGUACUGUUGGACACCGGGCCUCUGUAAAGCUCCUUCGACGAGUCGAGUGAGUUUGG